AGAGGACUGGAAGGCGGAUUGGGGGCGGGGCGAGGGCGUCCCAGAGCUCCCCGGGUCCUAAAGGCCGCCUUCCCCGGUUACAGCCCGGCUGUGCUUCCCCCCCCUCCCGCCAUGGGUGCGUUGCAGCCCCCACGGCGGCUGGUUUGGCCUUUCCCCGAGGGCUUGCGGCGUGCUAGGCGCUGGCACCCCCGCUGCACAGCCGCCGGGACUGCCCUCCGGCCUCGCGUGGGGUCACCCGUGACACCCCCACGGCACAAAGCCUUCCCCUCUGGCCUUUGCCCCCUGAGUCAGGGCUCUGCUCCGUCCUGCCGCGCUGACGCCGGGUGCGUGGCCGGCAACGUGUUGUCCCUGCGUGUGGCUCACCCUCCGUCCACGCAAACCUGCAGGGAAAGUCAGGAAAACUCCGCUAAAUUUCAAACUAGUUUCUGGAAUCUCGUGCCUGGGCUCAGCAGCAUUUCAGUGCGUGGGGACUGUGAAGGUCACCAACCUCCCACGGGGUCCCUUCGCCUGCAAGGGCUUGUGAUCGGACGGGGGACUGGUGGGGUCCCCCCGGGUGGGAACCACCAGUGCCUUCGUCUGGAGGGAGCAGGGGGGACGGGUUGAAACAGAAGAUCGGCUACAGCUGGCAGAGGCUGUGUAUGAACAAAGUACACUGAAGAUAUUGGACUGUAUCAAAUUCCUGAUUUUUUUUGAGCUGUGUUGUUCCAGGUCAUUGCAGUUUAACUCUUAGAGUGCUGCUGUCUCCCCAGCUACAAGCGCAGCCACUCUUGAAGAGGCUGAAAAUUGUCCUGGGGCCUGUUAAUGACUUUAAUGAGCUGUUCAGGAAGACAACAGGGAUUUGUGCAAGAGGCGGGUAUGGUGGCAUCCUGAAUGCAUCUGUUAAACAGCAACGACAUGAAAGACAAAAUUGAUUUUCCCUUUUUUACUGCUGAGUUCCACCCAGCUGCUCCGGACUAUGAAAGAGCUGUGGAGCAAAGUAAGGUCACGUUACUUAAUGCCGACGCGCUUUCAGAGUGCUGCUACAAAAGCGAAAUCCCGUCCCAGCAAGCUGUGUGUGUGUGAACCCAGCCUGUCUUCUGCAACAUGGCAGGGAGAAUUUCUCUCAUAGGCACCUACAAAGCUCGGAAUAGCUCUCUGCAAAACUCUACCUGAAAAGAUGCUUCUAAGACACAAUAUCUAAUGCUCAUCUCCCGCCCACCAGCUCUCUGUCUGUGCAACUCUCGCACUCCUCCGUCUCUGGCACAGCUAAGCAGCGGGCAGUCCCGGCAAACGCUGCAGGAAACAUCCUGUGCCGCGGUAGUGCACACAUCUGGUGUUAAGAUGCUCAAGGAGAUGGGAUUAGGAUCCCAGUUUUUAUUCCGACGAAGCGGCAGAAGGCCAGAUACGGCUCUGAUGGGCACACCAGACACACAGACUGGCAACUGGCUCCUCACCGUGAAGGGGCAGCUGAGCCAGACAUCUGAGAAGGCAGUGGGAGCACAACGGGAAUGCUUAAUAGCAAAGGAAAAAUCCCGGCAGACAUUUUAAAAUGUUUUUAAACCUCUUGUUAAAGAGGAUUUAAGAACUAGGCGUGUGUAGGGAAAAGAAGCUUAAUUUAUGAUGAAUGUUAAUACCAGCUCCUUACAUACGAUACUGGCCUCAAGCAUCCCUGAGGUAUUUGAGGGACUAGUGCUGUGGUUAUGAUUUCAGUGCAUAGGGGAAAUUCUCUUGCAUUAUUAAACAAAUCAUGCCCCGUG